CUCCACAUCCACAUGUCUUUACCUUUAGGAGUGGUGAUUCAACCACUUUCCUGAGCAGUCUGCUCCACUGCUGGACAACCCUUCUGGCAAAGAAGUUUUUCCCAAUAUCACAUCUAAACCUUGCCCGGUGCAAUUAGAGGCCAUUUCCUUUCAUUCUGUCACUUGUUACCUCAGGGAUGAGGCCAAUUCCUGCCCAGCAUUUCAGGUGGUUGUAGAGAGUGAGAAGGCCCAUCCUGAGCCUCCAUUUCUCGCGGAUAAACAACGCCAGCUCCCUCAACUGCUCCUUGUAAAAGUUGUGCUUCAGACCCUUCCCCAGCUCUGUUACCCUUCUCUGGACACGCUGCAGCACCUUGAUGUCCUUCUUGUAGUGAGGGGCCCAAAAGUGGAUACGAGACUCAAGCACAUAGAGAAGACCCUUGGUCAAGUGAGCUCACCAACAGGAUGCUGUCAGCUUGAGAAGAGUUCAGUUUACUGAUGGGGGAGAAGUCAGUAUUUACUAGCAGAAUGAACAGUACUUAGAGGAUCAGAUUUCCAGUUCAACUUUUCACUUUUAUCUCUUCCCAAGCAGGUAUGUAGCAGUGAACCUACAAACUCAUGAGAACAACUGCAUGACCCAUAUAGCCUACCCCUAAAAUCUUUUAAUGACAGUGUCUAAGUGACUCAUUUACUGUCCUCAGUAUCACACAGGCAUUCUGAACUGCAUUCAAAUCUCAGAUGUCACAAUAUUUCAAAAUAUCACGGUUACUUGAUUAGAAGAGGGAUCUAUACUAGUGCAACACUUUCAAAUAGGAAAAGAUGCAUCAAACUGUCUUCUAAUUAUAUUCUCUAUGUUGGCCUUGCUACUGGUGUGAUUUCUUUCUAAUUUCUGCUCCAGUGAUCACUGGUGACUCUCAUGGUCAUGGUAAAUGGUCUCCUGGUACAUUUGCAGUAUGUUCAUUGAUGUAUUUUUCAACUAAAAGUGUUAUGAAUACACAGUGACCUGUGAAUGAUUUUGAGGGCUGACACUCAACUGUUGACCCUUAAAACUUUGAAAUAACUACAUAAAAUAUUUAAAGACAGAAAUGAAAGAUAGCCCUCUCUAAAAUAGAAUUUAAUGACUAUAGGGAAUUUAAAAAUAACAUGUGUGACCACCCUAAAACACAGUGUCAUCACUCCAAUUCCAGACUGAAUAUAGCAAAACCCUACUGCUCGUACUGGAGUGAAUACAAUACAAGAUUUAGAUAAUGAUUCCCCAUUAUACGGCAAAAUCCUGACAGUAGUAGUUGAAAUUCAUGAUCAGUUUUGUGGCAUGCCUUUAAGACCACAGGUCAAGGUCACUGUGUUGGAUAGAACCCUUGAAUUACUGCUUUGUUUAGAUCUGGAGGUUGGUGAAGAGCAAUGGAAAUGGAGGAGUAAUGAGUUUCACUGCCUGAAAACUACAAUUCUUCUCUCUAAGAAUAAAAACCUGGACUUGCUUUCUGCAGGUUAUUGGCAGGAACAUUAUGCUUGGACCAUCUUGCACAAGGGCUUAUGGCUAUUCAUGCUGUUUCUGCAUGAAAAUUCAGCAAUUUAUCUGUGAAGUCCUAGGAGGCCUGGAUCACAUUCUGAAGACAAGACAUUCAAAAUUUUAGUGUAGAAAUAUUUUACUGAACUUCAAAUUUCAAUGCUGGCCUUCACAGAACUGUCUGUGGACUUAUUAAAUUGUUUAGGGUAAAAAGAAAAUCAGGUAUACAUUUACAUUGGCAGCAAUCAGUUUACCAUUAGCCCUGCUUUCAGAGCACAGUAUGGAUGAGAACCAGCAAAUAUACUCAGCAACUUGAUUGAUUGCAAGCAGGGAUUUGAGCCUGGGUCAUCACACUUUCUCUCUCUGGUUCACUGCAUGUUUAAGUAGGGUGCAAAAAUGGAAUAUCUCCCACAGAAGUGACUGAGUGAGCCUGGCCCUGCUGUGCAUGUCGCGUGCUCACUAGAUGCUCCUUGGGAAGACCAGAGUGCUACAUUUAGAUCCACCCUGGUCCCAGUAACAGCACAGCUGAACUCCCACUCAGCAAUGUGAAGAUGGGACACAUGCAAUUUCUUCCUGCUAAAGCUGUUCCACUAUUUUUAGACUGAAUAAGAAAGGGAGGUAGUAAAUAACUCCCUUGCUUUAUGAGGAAUUAAUUCAGGACACAGAAUUCCUGGGCUGAAUUCUCCAUGCCAGGCACCAGUUUGCAAGGAGAAAGUAGAACAGUGUCAAAGCAAAGGCUGGAAAAUCCUUCUCACUCCUCUCUGAAGUAUCCUGCAGGCUUGCAGUCAUACUGUCCUUCAAAUGCUUUUAGGUAGAAGUACCUGUGCCAUCUCUUCUUCAUCCCAUUUUAUCAAUCUAGUUUGACAGUGGCUUUGCUUUCAGCACAGGUGUGUUCUAUAGCAGCAUUUUACCUUUGGGUUUGAAUAGGAUGCUUUGCUCCAUUAGAAACAAUUCCUCUAGUUUUUGAUUUUAAUGAAAA